UAUGUGAUCGUCUCUCGCAUAUCAAUAAGCGGAGGAAAAGAAACUAACAAGGAUUCCCCUAGUAACGGCGAGUGAAGCGGGAAGAGCUCAAAUUUGAAAUCUUAAAGGGUUUCCCUUUACGAAUUGUAGUUUAAAGAAGUGUUUUCUGUUGAGGUUUUGGUAAAAGUUCUUUGGAAUAGGACAUCAUAGAGGGUGAGAAUCCCGUAUUUGACCUUUACUUUCAACUUUGUGAUACACUUUCAAAGAGUCGGAUUGUUUGGGAAUGCAGUCCAAAAUGGGUGGUAAAUUUCAUCUAAAGCUAAAUAUUGGCGAGAGGACCGAUAGCGAACAAGUACCGUGAGGGAAAGAUGAAAAGAACUUUGAAAAGAGAGUUAAACAGUACGUGAAAUUGUCAAAAGGGAAGCGUUUGACACCAGUGUUGUUUUUCUGAAAAUCAAUUAAAGAACUGUUUAUGCUAAGUUGUUUAGACUUUAUCAGCUAACUGUUUAGUUUUGAGCUUUUCUUUAAUGCACUUUUCAGUUAACAAGUCAACAUCAAUUUCUUUUGCUGUAAAAAAGCUUGAGGAAGGUGGCUUGAGAUUCGUCUUAAGUGUUUAUAGCCUCUUGCCUAUGCAGUCGGAGAGAUUGAGGUCUGCAGCGUAGAUCCUUCGGGGCUAAAUGCAUUUGUGCUAAGUUAUAGCAUUUUAUAGACAACUUGUUGACUAUGAUUUGUCUUGUAGCUUACUCGCUUAUGUUAUUUUACCUACGCUUAGGAUGUUGAAGACUCUACAGAGAUA
rnacentral:rRNA from 1 species